GUCUCUGGGAGAAGAUUCCUGGGAAAUCUCUGGGGCGGCACAGAGAGCUGCUCACGUUUUUAAAAGGGAAGUAUACAUUUCAUUUUCGUUUGACGAGAUAGACAUCAGAAUUUAAAAAUACUGGAAAAUCGAAGCCAGCAGUAGACUAAGAGAAUCAUUUAUCCUCACUCAGUAGGGUUUCUUCUAUCAAUGCAAUAUAUAUGGCCGGGAGAUUAGGAGGACCCAAAGGAGACGGAGAAAGAAAUGAUCCACGAGGGAGAUGGACAAAGGCUGCUGAUAGGUCAAGUAAGAUGACAACAAAGAAUUGAUCAUUAAGUUUGACUAUGAAGCAUCUUGGUGUGAAUUUCUUUGGGUUUCUCCUGUUAUCCUUCUUGAAUAUGACUCUGAUGACAGGAAUUUCCAGGACUCUGAUUAUAGUCCCACAGGUCCUUGAGGCUCUGUUUAUUUUUCUUUUCAGUCUGUUUUCUCUCUGUUGUUCAGACUUGGUAAUUUGGUAAUUUCUAUUUCUUUGCCUUCAAGUUCAUGGAUUCUUUCCUUUAUCCCUUCCAAUCUGCUACUGAUUCUAU